CUGAAGAGUCAGAUGUGUUAUCCAAGGAGCUCAAUCAGUCAUAAAACAGAAGGGGAGAGAUGGUGAAGAAGAAGAAAAUUAGAGAAAGCCCAUAUAAUUAACUGGGUUAUUGGAUCUCUAUGUAUACCUGAUUUUUUAUUGAAGAGGAGGAGAAUUGUCUCAUGAAUGAAAGACAUGAAAGUCUUUGGCAGAAUGCAAGAUGGUCAGAUCAGGAACAAAAAACAUUUUGUGAAGCUCAUCAAGGUUUAUAGUAAAGGAAAAGAAAUUUUUGGAGCAAAAGUUGAGGUAUUAAA